UUGUUGUUUCAUCAUUAUUAUUAUUAUUAUUAUCAUUAGAAACUAUCUCUCACUACUGUUUUAGCUCCUGCAAAUGCUGAUGACGGCCUCUUCAUGGUGCUGAAAGUAGGCGGUUUGAUUCUGCUCCUGGCUUUAGCAAUGGGUAGCCUGGUUCUCCUGUACUUCAUCAAAAAGAAGAAACACCGGUAUCAGCCCCAGCUCCAGAUCAUCCAGAUGGUUGGACCCAAUCAGCGGCUUUCUUAGCAGCGCCAGUCUCAUCUUUUUCCGUUCUAAUCGCCGCGCUUGACUUCAAGGUGUAACCUUUAUUAUUGUUCGGUCUGAAACGGCGCGUCCAGUGACGGAUGGUGCAGCAAUAUUGUUGUCCGGAUGGAAAUCGGGAGAAAUUCGGGAGAAAGGUCGGUCCGGGAGAUUUUCGGGAGGGGCUUUGAAAUUCGGGAGUCUCCCGGAAUAUUCGGGAGGGUUGACAUGUCUGAUUGUAAGAUAUGCAAAAGCGACAUGGCCUGGCACGGGAGCACCACGGCGACGAUUCAGCACCUUAAACGGAAACAUGUUGGAAAAAUCUAAUCUAAAUAUUUUUUGUGCCUAAUAUAUUUAAUUUGGCAGCUGUAAAGUAUACAUCAUGCGAUGUGUGUAUGUUUUUUGUGUUAGUCCAUUUUAUUUGCUUACUUAGCAAUCUGUUUGUGCACUUUCUAAAUAUGUUUUGCACUGUCAGUUGUAUUUUUCAAUAAAGGGUUGGAAAUUAA